rnacentral:rRNA from 1 species
ACAUAUCAAUAAGCGGAGGAAAAGAAACCAACAGGGAUUGCCUUAGUAACGGCGAGUGAAGCGGCAACAGCUCAAAUUUGAAAUCUGGCUCUUUUAGAGUCCGAGUUGUAAUUUGCAGAGGGCGCUUUGGCGUUGGCAGCGGUCCAAGUUCCUUGGAACAGGACGUCACAGAGGGUGAGAAUCCCGUACGUGGUCGCUAGCCAUCGCCGUGUAAAGCCCCUUCGACGAGUCGAGUUGUUUGGGAAUGCAGCUCUAAAUGGGAGGUAAAUUUCUUCUAAAGCUAAAUACUGGCCAGAGACCGAUAGCGCACAAGUAGAGUGAUCGAAAGAUGAAAAGCACUUUGGAAAGAGAGUCAAAUAGCACGUGAAAUUGUUGAAAGGGAAGCGCUUGCAGCCAGACUUGCCUGUAGUUGCUCAUCCGGGCUUUUGCCCGGUGCACUCUUCUGCGGGCAGGCCAGCAUCAGUUUGGGCGGUUGGAUAAAGGUCUCUGUCAUGUAACUCUCUUCGGGGAGAACUUAUAGGGGAGACGACAUGCAACCAGCCUGGACUGAGGUCCGCGCAUUUGCUAGGAUGCUGGCGUAAUGGCUGUAAGCGGCCCGUCUUGAAACACGGACCAAGGAGUCUAACAUCUAUGCGAGUGUUUGGGUGUCAAGCCCGAGCGCGUAAUGAAAGUGAACGGAGGUGGGACCCCAUUAGGGUGCACCAUCGACCGAUCCUGAUGUCUUCGGAUGGAUUUGAGUAAGAGCAUGGCUGUUGGGACCCGAAAGAUGGUGAACUAUGCUUGAAUAGGGUGAAGCCAGAGGAAACUCUGGUGGAGGCUCGCAGCGGUUCUGACGUGCAAAUCGAUCGUCAAAUUUGGGCAUAGGGGCGAAAGACUAAUCGAACUAUCUAGUAGCUGGUUCCUGCCGA